UAUAAAUAGAAUUUUCCAUAUUGUUUCGGUAUUACCUCUACAGUUAGAUUCGGACGCUUUGUACAAAUCACCGUCAUUCAUUGUUAUCGAUUAUAAGUUCAAAAAGAAACUUUGCAGGCGAGUGGUUAUUCUUUAUUAUGUGUAUGAUUUAUUCUAGUUUUCCAAAUUUGUCUACAAAGCGAAUAAAAAAAACACCAACUAUUGAAAGCACUUUGACACUGUAUUUAUCCG
rnacentral:misc_RNA from 1 species